CCUACGGGUGGCAGCAGUCGAGAAUCAUUCACAAUGGGGGAAACCCUGAUGGUGCGACGCCGCGUGGGGGAAUGAAGGUCUUCGGAUUGUAAACCCCUGUCAUGUGGGAGCAAAUUAAAAAGAUAGUACCACAAGAGGAAGAGACGGCUAACUCUGUGCCAGCAGCCGCGGUAAUACAGAGGUCUCAAGCGUUGUUCGGAAUCACUGGGCGUAAAGCGUGCGUAGGCUGUUUCGUAAGUCGUGUGUGAAAGGCGCGGGCUCAACCCGCGGACGGCACAAGAUACUGCGAGACGAGAGGAAUGGAGGGGGAACCGGAAUUCUCGGUGUAGCAGUGAAAUGCGUAGAUAUCGAGAGGAACACUCGUGGCGAAGGCGGGUUCCUGGACAUUAACUGACGCUGAGGCACGAAGGCCAGGGGAGCGAAAGGGAUUAGAUACCCCAGUAGUC
rnacentral:rRNA from 1 species